rnacentral:rRNA from 1 species
AAAAGUAAGCAAGGGCGCAUGGCGGAUGCCUUGGCUCUCGGAGGCGAUGAAGGACGUGAUAAGCUGCGAUAAGCCGCGGGUAGGUGCAAAUGACCUUUGAUCCGCGGAUUUCCGAAUGGGACAACCCAAUAUCUUGAAGAGGUAUUAUCCUACUAAGUAGGAGGCAAACGCAGGGAACUGAAACAUCUUAGUACCUGUAGGAAGAGAAAAUAAAUAAUGAUUCCCCUAGUAGUGGCGAGCGAACGGGGACCAGCCCAAACCAUAUGUGUUACGGCAUGUAUGGGGUUGUAGGACCACGUCGUGGGACGACAGUUAGUGAGUAGAAUGAUCUGGAAAGUUCAGUCAUAGACGGUGAUAACCCGGUAUACGAAGCUAACUUAACCCUAGUGGUAUCCUGAGUAGCGCGGGACACGAGGAAUCUUGCGUGAAUCUGCCGGGACCAUCCGGUAAGGCUAAAUACUCCCGAGAGACCGAUAGCGAACCAGUACUGUGAAGGAAAGGUGAAAAGCACUUCGAACAGAAGAGUGAAAUAGUCCCUGAAACCAUGCGCCUACAAGCGGUCGGAGCAGCUUUAUGCUGUGACGGCGUGCCUUUUGCAUAAUGAACCUACGAGUUACUUUUUCCGGCAAGGUUAAGGAUCUUGAGAUCCGCAGCCGAAGCGAAAGCGAGUCUGAACAGGGCGGAUAGUCGGAAGGAGUAGACGCGAAACCAAGUGAUCUACCCUUGGCCAGGUUGAAGGACAGGUAACACUGUCUGGAGGACCGAACCGAUAAGCGUUGAAAAGCUUCCGGAUGAGCUGAGGGUGGGGGUGAAAGGCUAAUCAAACUUGGAGAUAGCUCGUACUCCCCGAAAUGCAUUUAGGUGCAGCCUUGAUUUAUACUAAUAUGAGGUAGAGCGACUGAUAAGAUGCGAGGGCUUCGCCGCCUAUCAAGUCUUGACAAACUCCGAAUGCGUAUUAGUUCUAUAUCAGGAGUGAGGGCAUGGGUGCUAAGGUCCAUGUCCUAAAGGAGAACAAUCCGGACCAUCAGCUAAGGUCCCGAAAUAACCACUAAGUUGAUCUAACGAAGUCAGAUUGCUAAGACAGCUAGGAUGUUGGCUUGGAAGCAGCCAUUCAUUUAAAGAGUGCGUAACAGCUCACUAGUCGAGGAGUUUGGCGUGGAUAAUAAUCGGGCAUAAGUGGUUUACCGAAGCUAUGGGAUGUUUAAUACAUCGGUAGGGGAGCAUUCCACUCUGCGUCGAAGGUGAAGCGUGAGCUUUGCUGGAGCGUGUGGAAAAGCAAAUGUAGGUAUAAGUAACGAUAAAGGGGGUGAGAAACCCCCUCGCCGAAAGACUAAGGUUUCCUGAUCAACGCUAAUCGGAUCAGGGUUAGUCGGGUCCUAAGGCUCAGCCGAACGGUGAGGCCGAUGGCAGAACAGGUUAAUAUUCCUGUACUACCUUAAAGAGUGACGUGGAGACGGAGGCGUGACAGUGCCGCGGACUGACGGAAUAGUCCGUUGAAGGGUGUAGAUGUUGAUCGGGGUAGGCAAAUCCGCUCCGAGAGUCGAACCUGAUAGUAUGGAGCGUUCUUCGGAACAAUCCAAUAGUGCAUGUAAACAUACUCCCAAGAAAAUCCGCUAAACUUAAUCUUUAAGGUACCCGUACCGCAAACGGACACACGUAGUCGGGUUGAAUAUACUAAGGCGCUUGAGUGAUUCACGGUUAAGGAACUAGGCAAAUUGACCCUGUAACUUCGGGAUAAAGGGUCCCCACUGUAAGGUGGGGCGCAGAGAAUCGGUCCAGGCAACUGUUUAACAAAAACACAGGGCUGUGCAAAAUUGAAAGAUGAAGUAUACAGCCUGACACCUGCCCGGUGCUGGAAGGUUAAGAGGAGAUGUCAUCGCAAGAGAAGCAUUGAAUUGAAGCCCCAGUAAACGGCGGCCGUAACUAUAACGGUCCUAAGGUAGCGAAAUUCCUUGUCGGGUAAGUUCCGACCUGCACGAAUGGUGUAAUGAUCUGGACACUGUCUCAACCGUGAGCUCAGUGAAAUUGUAGUAUCGGUGAAGAUGCCGAUUACCCGCGAUGGGACGAAAAGACCCCGUGAACCUUUACUAUAGCUUAACAUUGAAUUUGGGUAAUUGAUGUGUAGGAUAGGCCGGAGGCUUUGAAGCAGGUACGCCAGUAUUUGUGGAGCCGCUGUUGAAAUACGGCCCUUUGGUUAUUUGAGUUCUAACUCGUGAUACGAGGACACUGUUUGGUGGGUAGUUUGACUGGGG